CAGCCGCCACGGUAAUACGAGGGGGGCUAGCGUUGUUCGGAAUUACUGGGCGUAAGGGCGCGUAGGCGGCCAUUCAAGUUAGAUGUGAAAGCCCUGGGCUCAACCUAGGAAUUGCAUUUGAUACUGUUUGGCUUGAGUUCUGGAGAGGUGAGUGGAAUUCCCAGUGUAGAGGUGAAAUUCGUAGAUAUUGGGAAGAACACCAGUGGCGAAGGCGGCUCACUGGACCGACACUGACGCUGAGGCGCGAAAGCGUGGGGAGCAAACAGGAUUAGAUACCCCCGUAGUCCCUGUCUCUUAUACC
rnacentral:rRNA from 1 species